UACGGAGGGUGCGAGCGUUGUCCGGAAUCAUUGGGCGUAAAGGGCGCGUAGGCGGCUUCUCAAGCGUGCGGUGAAAGUCGGGGGCUCAACCCCUGAUCGGCCGUGCGAACUGGGGGGCUCGAGCACUGUAGAGGCAGGCGGAAUUCCGGGUGUAGCGGUGGAAUGCGUAGAGAUCCGGAAGAACACCGGUGGCGAAGGCGGCCUGCUGGGCAGUUAGCUGACGCUGAGGUGCGAAAGCGUGGGGAGCAAACAGG
rnacentral:rRNA from 1 species